rnacentral:rRNA from 1 species
AUGCAACCUAUAAACAGAACAUUCCUAGAGGAGGUGAAUGAAAACAACGACAGUGUGGAGCCGAUUCGGUUCCCGGUGAGCGUGCCGGCAGAUGUUGAUCUGCCAUCGCGGGCAGCUUCAAGUGGGCACGGCCAGAUCUGCCUUGAAGACGUCGCUGCAGAGGCAGUAAGCGGAGGGAAGACUCAGGGUUCAGAGCAGUCGACAGAGCAAAUGGACCCAAAAACUCCAGGUUGGACACAAAGGGGAAGCCAAUCGUUAAAAAUACACAAUCUUGUCGCCGUCAAUGCCCAACACUCAUAA